CCGGUGCCCCCGGCGCAGCUGCCUCGCGUCUCCGCUGCACCUCCGGACCGAGAUCCAGACACGAAACCGGGAUCCUGCCCCUCUGCGCCGAGUGAGGCCGGUUGUGGAGGCACGGACUGGAGCGGAAAGUAGCGCAAGUAGCGUGGGGGUGGCGGGGAGUGGGGAUCGCCUUGGAGUCUGUCCCACACCCCACACCAAGGCUGGACGGUGGAGAUCCUUGCUUCUCCGGCCUCACUCCUACAUGGGGUUUUGACUUCGUGUUCAUUUUUAUACUUUUUACUGAAAAAAAAAAAAAGGCGUAGGACACAGGACAGUGGCUUGUAAACAGUGGGCGCCAAAUUGUGUUUGUGGACUUAGGUUGGACUUGACGCACAAUCUAUUUCUGUGUGGUCCAAGCAGAGUUCGCAAAAGGGAAGCGACUUGUGCGAGGUCCUAAUCGCGUUAACAAUUUAGUAAGAGCGAGAAAGAUGGUGAGAUAGAUCUUCAUUUACAAGGACCUUAAUACUUAGCUAGGGAGAUAAGGUUAAAUGAUAAUGGUAAUGGUAAUAAUAAUAAUAAUUAUAAUAAUAAUAACCCUAACUUUUCUAUGGCACAUAUUGUUUGCCGGGCACUUUUCUAAGUGCUUUGCAUAUAUUAAUACGUAAGCACAAUAAACAGCUGACCUAAAGAUGUCCACAUGUCCUGUGAAACGUGUGACCAAAUGACAUCAGCCUGGAGUGUAAGAGAUUUUCAUCUGGAAGACACACCAGCAGUCAUUCCACACUGCAGGCGAAUGCAGAAUUGUGAUUCAUCGUGGAACUGACACGCUUCCUGUCAGAGGAUGAAGGGACUGGCGGAGGCCUUCAGGAGAUGGUGCCUCUAAACCCCAGGGGGAAAACACGCGAAGAAUAACAAACCAUCCCAUCUUUAACGAGAAAGAGCUCCAGCUUGCAUGGCUGCAACAGUCAGGUAAUGUGAACCAGAGUGGGCGGUAGGUCCAGGAGAGUUUUCAUCUGAAUCCCAAUUCUGUCAUUCAGUGGCUGGUGGGCCUUCGAACCAAACGUCUGAGCCUAUUUUCUUACCAAUGGAAUAAGGGCAAUACCAGCCUCAAGGGGGAACUUCAAUGAUGAAAUGAGUUAGUGCAGUGCCUGGCACAUAGAAAAUGCUUAAUGAACUGUUAAGUGAAUGAAUGGUGCUUUAAAACAAAACAAAAGAGCACCGUUAUUGGCUGAAGCUACAUGACCCUUAAAAGCACAGCGUUGCUUAAUCUUGUACACAACUUGUCCUUCUCAGCAUAUCGUUCCGCACAUCGUCCGGGGCGGGGCGGCUUCUCAGACACUCAAUCUGGGGCUAAUCUGCAAUCAAGAAGCCCAGGCAGGCGGAGAUUUGGCAAACCCCUUCCCCAAGCCCUUCUCCUCUCCAGCUGGCUCAGAAAAGCUUCCAUGGCAAUGACAAGAACCUACUCCCUUUUAUUGUUUUUCUUUUCCCAAUGAUGGAGCAAUCACAUGAUUUCAACAGGAAAAACAACUCUGGACUCCGACUGUUUGGAUUGAGCCACAGACUUUCUGGUCUCAGUCCCUGGAGAGAAAAGACAUUCCCAAGGCUGGUGUGGGAUGGGGGACGGCUGGACGACAAGCCUGGCCGGCACAUGCUCAUACCAGACUGGCCAACUGAACGGAUAUCUCCACGACAGUUGUGCAAAAUCCAUUCUUACAUUAAUGGUGAAGAGAGACCUAGCAACAAAUUAAGAGAAUUACGAGAAGUCACCUCAUCAAUCUAAAUACUGUGCCGUUCUGUAGACUCGUGGUUAAAAACGUGUGCUGACGCCUCCUGGUGGAAGUCAGAGUUACUGCAAGCCACUGGUAAAUUGGCGUCUGUGGGCCUUCCUAGUUCGCGAACUGAAUAUACAAAAAUAUGACAACUAUUACUUAAAGGUUAUUGGAAUAAAAAAAUGGAUUCCUUCUACUGGGAAAAGAUGGGAAUCAUUGAUGUAGAUUUUUUUUGUCUCAGACUGUCAGAGGGACGGUCACAAACUGAAUAGUUUCAGGUUCUGUUUUGGAUAUCUUCUUUUUUAAAAAAUUUUUAAAGUGUAUAUGAAUGUACUUGGUCAUAUCUCAGUUUCUAAGUUUACUAGUGGGUGUGUUAGUGUGUCUAUUCUCUGGCUAGGGUGUCAACUCCUCAAGGGAGAAAGACUUGGAACCCUUAAUUUAAGGCUCUGGACAUUCUGGGCACUUGAAUGAAUAUUAUUUAUUGAUUGCCUGGGGAAAAAAAUGGGUUAAGAGCACAAAAUAAAUAUGGCGUUUGUAAUGGAA